GGCCCCAUUACUGUUAAUUAAGAAAUGAAUAAUUUAACGUCCCAUUAGAUAUCAUCAAAAUACUAUAUAUUUGAGAUAAAAUCAUAUGUAGCUAUACUCAGUCUGAAAUUAGAACUGGUUUGAGUUACUCAAAAUGAACACAACAGUGUGCUUCGUGCUUUUGUUGGCCGUUACGCAAAUAUUUGCAUGGCGACCGAUUACAAAAUUUCAAAAACGUUUCAAGGCACUACCCGACGAUUAUUUGGAACUUGAUGAUAUGGCGGAUGAUUACAAUGCAGGCUAUGCAAACGGUGACGACUUCGGGUACAUGGAUGACCGACAGAAGCGCUUCAAACAAGCAUUCAAACAAGGGUUCAAAUUCAAACAUGCAAGGAAGUAGGAUGUAAUGUUUCUGAGAAAGAAUGGAAUCGGAUCGGAAAGAUAAAUGACCGAGAAAAAUUAUUGUUGUAAUAUUACACUUUCCUCUCUUUUUACUUACUUAGUUUAUCUAUUCUUUUACUUUUAAGCAAAUUUCUCGAAACACCUUAGUUGAAAGGUACAUUUGAAUCAAUAUGCAACCAUACUACUGAAAGAUAAAAAAAUGGAAACAAAGUGAUCCAUCGGAAGCAAUAAUCACAACAAAAUUACAUGAAAAUAGCAGACUCGCUUUAAUUAUGUGAUUCAUAUUAGCAAAGAUAAAUACUCAUACAGAUUCGGAGCAAGGGCGAUCAACAAAGAAACAUUUAAAAAUGCGUGAACGAAAGAUAGGGUUGAAGCUGCAUACCUCCAGAUGAGCCACAAUAUUUCAAGACAAUCAAACUUGAACAAAAUGUCCUAAAGUUUUAAGAAACGUAAAAGGAUUCAAAAUUAAAGUCAUAGUUCACAUGUUGUGUGCGAUUGAAGACUAAUUUUGUAAUAUUUAUCACCAUAUUUCUACUGCGUUACUAACGCAGUAAGGGCUAUUUUCGCAUAUUUUGACCUCUUUGGGUAAUUGAAGUGGAUUGUACAAGCCGUUUGCAAUAUGUAAAUUACUUUCUUUGUUCACUUCAAAAUAUAGUACUUUAAAAUAAUUUUUCAAAAUUUUCAUGAUAAUUUGCAUAAAUCUGGAGGCAUGCUGCUUUAAACCAGUACUUCAGAGAACAUUGUCUUGCUCGAACCGACGAUUUUUAUCUUAUUAUACAAGAUGAUCAGGGUCCCAAUACAUUUUUUGCACUAUCACAAUCAGUUUGGUUAAAACUUAAAGAUUGCACACGAUUUGUCUAUUAGCUUUGUUGCUGUUUUUCAUAGUUGUUUUACUUUGUUCUGCUAUGGUUGA